GAUGAACGCUGGCGGCGUGCCUAAUACAUGCAAGUCGAGCGAAAAGACGAGGAGCUUGCUGCUCUGACGUGAGCGGCGGGCGGGUGAGUAACACGUGGAUAACCUCCCUAUAAGACGGGGAUAACUUCGGGAAACCGGAGCUAAUACCGGAGAAUAUAUUGCACCACAGGGUGCAAUAGUGAAAGACGGUGGUGGUGUCACGUAUAGAUGGAUACGCGCCGCAUGAGCGGGUUGGUAAGGUAACGGGUUUCCAAGGGAACGAUGCGUAGCCGCGCUGAGAGGGUGAUCGGCCACACUGGAACUGAGACCCGGUCCAGACUCCUACGGGAGGCAGCAGUAGGGAAUCUGCCGCCAUGGGCGAAAGCCUGACGGAGCAACGCCGCGUGAGUGAUGAAGGUCGUCGGAUCGUAAAACUCUGUUAUUAGGGAAGAACCAAUGUGUACGUAACUCUGCACGUCUUGACGGUACCUAAGCAGAAAGCCACGGCUAACUUCGUU
rnacentral:rRNA from 1 species